AAUAAAAGGCAAAGCAGGAGAAAUCCUGUGACGCAAAACUAUAGGGCCUAAAAAUCUGAUUUUAUGGUAGCCAGUUGCA
rnacentral:ncRNA from 1 species